rnacentral:rRNA from 1 species
CCCGGGAGGGGAGUGAAAUAGAACCUGAAACCCUGCACUUACAAGCUGUGGAAGCACAUUUCUUGUGUGACCGCGUACUUUUUGUAGAACGGGCCAACGAGUUACGUUAAGUAGCAAGGUUAAGCACGUAAGGUGCGGAGCCGUAGCGAAAGCGAGUUUUAACUGAGCGUUCAGUUACUUGACGUAGACCCGAAACCGGGCGACCUACCCAUGAGCAGGAUGAAGCGAAAGUAAAAGUUCGUGGAGGUCCGAACCCACGAGCGUUGAAAAGCUCGGGGAUGACUUGUGGGUAGCGGUGAAAUUCCAAUCGAGCCCGGAGAUAGCUGGUUCUCCCCGAAAUAGCUUUAGGGCUAGCCUCAAGGUGAG